rnacentral:rRNA from 1 species
GACUCUCGGCAAUGGAUAUCUCGGCUCUCACAUCGAUGAAGAACGUAGCAAAAUGCAAUACUUGGUGUGAAUUGCAGAAUCCCGUGAACAAUCGAGUCUUUGAACGCAAGUUGCACCCCAAGCCUUCUGGCCGAGGGCACGUGUGCCUGGGUGUCA